CCCUUAGAUGUUCUGGGCUGCACGCGCGCUACACUGAAGCGUUCAACGAGUAUUUCACCUUGCCCGAUAGGGUUGGGUAAUCUUUUUAAAAUGCAUCGUGAUGGGGAUAGAUUAUUGCAAUUAUUAAUCUUCAACGAGGAAUUCCUAGUAAGCGCGAGUCAUCAGCUCGUGCUGAUUACGUCCCUGCCCUUUGUACACACCGCCCGUCGCUCCUACCGAUUGAGUGCUCAGGUGAAUAAUUCGGACUGCAGCAAUGUUUGGAUCCCGAACGUUGCAGCGGAAAGUUUAGUGAACCUUAUCACUUAGAGGAAGGAGAAGUCGUAACA
rnacentral:rRNA from 1 species